rnacentral:rRNA from 1 species
GACGAACGCUGGCGGCGUGCUUAACACAUGCAAGUCGAACGAAGUGGCGAACGGGUGAGUAAUACGUGGGUAACCUGCCCUCAUGUUUGGGAUAAGCCUUGGAAACGGGGUCGAAUACCGAAUAGAGGGGGAUGGGCUCGGGGCCUUUCAGCUUGUUGGUGGGGUGAUGGCCUACCAAGGCGGUGACGGGUAGCCGGGCUGGGAGGGUGACCGGCCCCAUUGGGACUGGGAUACGGCCCGGACGCCUACGGGAGGCAGCAGUGGGGGAUAUUGCACAGUGGGCGAAAGCCUGAUGCAGCGAGUCCGCGUGGGGUAUGAAGGCUUUCGGGUUGUAAACCUCUUUCGCUUUCGUACGGUUAUGUGGGGAUGAAGCGCCGGCUAACUACGUGACAGCAGCCGCGGUAAUU